rnacentral:lncRNA from 1 species
GAUGUACCCAGCAGUGUGGGAGCUGCUCUAUCACCCAGCCCUGUCCCUCCCAGCCCCUGCUGCCUUGUGUGGUCAGGAGUGCUGUGUCCCACCCCCAACCUCCCCCUUGUCUGAUGCUGCCCCUGCCAUGUUCCUGCCCAUGCAGAUCCCCCACGGGGCCAUCUGACCACCAGCAGUGAGAGCCUCUCUGUGCCUGUUGUCAUCUGCAUCAUCCUGGGGGCCCUCCUCUGCCUGCUCCUGGCCCUCCUGGCUGGGCAGUUGCAAAGCGCCAGGGCUCAGCGUAGAGGCUCCAAAAGAGCUGGGGAGCCCUUCCCUGAGGCCGUGUACGAGGAGAUCGCUUACAGCCUGGCGUGGGAGAAGCAGGCGAGGUUCAGUCUCUCAGAUGUCCCUGUCCUGACCGAAAGCGACCCAGCAGAUGGCUAUGAUGAUGCUGGGGAGGUUUCUGACCCUGGGGAGGAUCCUGUCCCUGGGCAGGGGGAUUGGGAAGUUCCUGGGGCACCAGUGGAAGGAGAUGGGCCUGGGGAUGCAGCCGCAGGGGGAAGCCUGCACUCCUGGAGAAGUGCUGGGGACCCUGGAGCUGAGGAUAUAUCUCAUCUCCUUACCUGGGGACCAUGGGCUACGACGAUGCUGAAGAGGUGUCUCUGGCAUGUUUUCAUGAGGACAUCCAGGAUGUGUCACCAGAGCCCAGUGCACAAGUGACCCAGAGCCCCAGACUAGCAAAGCCCAGCCCUGCCGAGCAGCUGGGUGCAACUCGGAGAGAGGAGAGCUCAGUGCCACUGGGAGAGCCGUGAGUGCCAGGGAAUGGUCUUCCUUUUCCAUCAGUCAGCAGACACACAUGGGUAUUCCCUCUCUUGGUAUUCCCCUCUUUUUAUGCUGUGAGUCAUUUCUUCAUAUUAAAAC